AGGCUAGGCUCGUCCGUAGCAAACGGAUUGCUUCGCUUCUGCCCAUGCCCAAUUUUCUUCUUCUUCGUCUUCGUCUUCUUCACUCCAACGUCAUUCGUUUCACCAGCGAAGCUACGAGCUUGAGUAGUAUAAACAGAGCCGCUCACGAACGUACCCGAUUCGAUCCGUUCUCUCAGGAACCGAACUUCCUCGAGCUCCGAAUUGAGACGCUUCUUCAGCUCCCUGAGCUGAUUCGAGGUGUACCCAUCAAGAUCAAAGGAAACGUAGUCUCCAUAAGCUGACGAAUCAUCGAAAUGCUUGCUCGAAUUGUUCC
rnacentral:sRNA from 1 species